rnacentral:piRNA from 1 species
UCAAAACUGAAAGUCUCUGAGAGG